rnacentral:lncRNA from 1 species
GCCUCACUUCGAGCACCAAGACGUUAGACAUGAUGACACUGCGGAUUUUAAUAAGUCAGCUUGGAUGCUCAGUGGAAUAGCGGGACCUGAUGGUGCCUUUGGAAAGCAGUUUCAGAGGUAGCUGCUACCGGGGAGAGGAUGAACAUUGCAAAGUGCAUUCUCAUCUCGGGACAAGGCGGCGGAGUACGGGACCUUGAGCUCACCUCCUCUUAACCUGCGUUCUGCCACUGCUGAACCCAAGUGUGACGUCCUCCCUCCAUCCCCCGGUUCAUGGAGGUGGAGGCAGGUCCAGCUGGCAGGCCAGGUCUCCCAGGACGGACAUGGACUGGUUGGCGUGAGGCUCCAGGUUACUUCUUGAUUAAGAACGUCUAACCAUGAUCCUGGGCAGUCAUCAUCUAGUGUAUUGAGAGGUGACAAGUCUCAUCCAGCUGCAGACAUCCUGAGCUCUCUGGGGAAAUGAAGCAAAGGGCAUUGCAGAAAGAAGGAAUGCAGAAUAUUCCAUUUCCUGUUGGCUCACUACCAGGAUUCUGCAUCCUGUUCCAUUUUCAUUAAGGUUUGUUGCACAUGACCCGGUGCUUAAUUUUAUGAUGGGUGGGUGUGAAACCCAAAGUAUUUGAGGGGGAUUAGAUAUUGUUGACACUGCAUUGGGCGGGAGGCUACCAAAUGCUUUCCUCCAUUCCUGUAGCUCAGUUGUUUCCCCAGGGAAAAGAGCAUCGCACGCUCUGGCCCGGAGUCCCAGCUCUGGGCAGACUCUCUGUAAGCGUUUCUCUUUACAGACUGAUCUAUGAUCCAUGACACCCUGUCUGCAGGACAGGCACAACACAGUGGCGAUACGGGACAAGAUCCGAACUUGCCCUAGGUAGAAUUACAAUUCUCCUUCCAGCCUUCCUAGCUAAUCCUCGGAUCAGAACACACUUGGAACGCUGAGAGAAAUAGGUAUAGCAAGAAACACAGUGGACCUGUUGGUUUCCAUGUCUGGAUCCAUAUGUAUGUCUAUGGAUGGAACAUUCUGGAAAAGUGACUCAACAUUUUUAUUGUCAAUUAUUAGAAGUCUAUUAUUUAACUAAAAAAAAAAAGUGCACACUUAAAACUCCUAG